GGCACUGUGGAUUAGUCGGUUAAAGUGCCUUUUCAGUAAAAAUGAGUUUCUGGGUUAAAAUUCCACCCGUGCCU